GAGGAAGUACAGAAAACUAUAAGCACUGCUAAUUCUUAUACCCAUGGUUAAAAUCCAUGGCUUCUUAC
rnacentral:tRNA from 1 species